GUGCUUGCUUCAGUAGCAUGUAUCCUAACAUUUGAGCAGUACAAAAAAAGAUUAGCAUGGCUUUUGUGCAAGGAUGACAUGAAAAUUUGUGAAGAGUUACAUAUUGUU
ensembl:snRNA U6 U6 spliceosomal RNA